rnacentral:rRNA from 1 species
CUGGCGGCGUGCCUAAUACAUGCAAGUAGAACGCUGAAGACUUUAGCUUGCUAAAGUUGGAAGAGUUGCGAACGGGUGAGUAACGCGUAGGUAACCUGCCUACUAGCGGGGGAUAACUAUUGGAAACGAUAGCUAAUACCGCAUAACAGCAUUUAACCCAUGUUAGAUGCUUGAAAGGAGCAAUUGCUUCACUAGUAGAUGGACCUGCGUUGUAUUAGCUAGUUGGUGAGGUAACGGCUCACCAAGGCGACGAUACAUAGCCGACCUGAGAGGGUGAUCGGCCACACUGGGACUGAGACACGGCCCAGACUCCUACGGGAGGCAGCAGUAGGGAAUCUUCGGCAAUGGGGGCAACCCUGACCGAGCAACGCCGCGUGAGUGAAGAAGGUUUUCGGAUCGUAAAGCUCUGUUGUAAGAGAAGAACGUGUGUGAGAGUGGAAAGUUCACACAGUGACGGUAACUUACCAGAAAGGGACGGCUAACUACGUGCCAGCAGCCGCGGUAAUACGUAGGUCCCGAGCGUUGUCCGGAUUUAUUGGGCGUAAAGCGAGCGCAGGCGGUUUAAUAAGUCUGAAGUUAAAGGCAGUGGCUUAACCAUUGUUCGCUUUG